rnacentral:rRNA from 1 species
AGAGUUUGAUCAUGGCUCAGAUUGAACGCUGGCGGAAUGCUUUACACAUGCAAGUCGAACGGCAGCACGGGGGCAACCCUGGUGGCGAGUGGCGAACGGGUGAGUAAUACAUCGGAACGUGCCCAGUCGUGGGGGAUAACGUAGCGAAAGCUACGCUAAUACCGCAUACGAACUCUGGUUGAAAGCGGGGGAUCGCAAGACCUCGCGCGAUUGGAGCGGCCGAUGGCAGAUUAGGUAGUUGGUGGGGUAAAGGCUCACCAAGCCGACGAUCUGUAGCUGGUCUGAGAGGACGACCAGCCACACUGGGACUGAGACACGGCCCAGACUCCUACGGGAGGCAGCAGUGGGGAAUUUUGGACAAUGGGCGCAAGCCUGAUCCAGCCAUUCCGCGUGCAGGAUGAAGGCCCUCGGGUUGUAAACUGCUUUUGUACGGAACGAAAAAGCCUGGGCUAAUACCCCGGGUCCAUGACGGUACCGUAAGAAUAAGCACCGGCUAACUACGUGCCAGCCGCCGCGGUAAUAC